AAACCAGCACCUCAAGUGGUCAGGAUGAUUAUUGGGCCUAAAGCAUCCGUAGCCUGCUCUGUAAGUUUUCGGUUAAAUCUGUAUGCUCAACAUACAGGCUGCCGGGAAUACUGCAAAGCUAGGGAGUGGGAGAGGUAGACGGUACUCGGGAGGAAGUGGUAAAAUGCUUUGAUCUCUCGAUGACCACCUGUGGCGAAGGCGGUCUACCAGAACACGUCCGACGGUGAGGGAUGAAAGCUGGGGGAGCAAACCGGAUUAGAAACCCCAGUAGUCC
rnacentral:rRNA from 1 species